AGUUUGAUCCUGGCUCAGAUUGAACGCUGGCGGCAUGCCUUACACAUGCAAGUCGAACGGCAGCACGGGAAGGGGCAACUCUUUCUGGUGGCGAGUGGCAAACGGGUGAGUAACGCAUCGGAACGUACCCAGUAGUGGGGGAUAACGUACCGAAAGGUACGCUAAUACCGCAUACGACCUGAGGGUGAAAGCGGGGGACCUUUGAAAGAGGGCCUCGCGCUAUUGGAGCGGCCGAUGUCCGAUUAGCUAGUUGGUGGGGUAAAGGCUCACCAAGGCUGUGAUCGGUAGCUGGUCUGAGAGGACGAUCAGCCACACUGGGACUGAGACACGGCCCAGACUCCUACGGGAGGCAGCAGUGGGGAAUUUUGGACAAUGGGCGCAAGCCUGAUCCAGCAAUGCCGCGUGUGCGAAGAAGGCCUUCGGGUUGUAAAGCACUUUUGUCCGGAACGAAAAGCGCCUGGCUAAUACCUGGGGGUGAUGACGGUACCGGAAGAAUAAGCACCGGCUAACGACGUG
rnacentral:rRNA from 1 species